AAGAUUAAGCCAUGCAUGUGUAAGUAUAAAUAAUUUUACUUUGAAACUGCGAAUGGCUCAUUAUAUCAGUUAUAGUUUAUUAGAAAUAGUGUACUACUUGGAUAACCGUAGUAAUUUAGGGCUAAUACAUGAGUAAAUCCUCGACUUGAAGAGGUGUGUUUAUUAGUAUGAAAACCAUAUGGUUUUGCCUGAUUGUGAGUAAUAAUAACCUUUCAUAUUGCCUGUUUUAAAGCGAGAGUUCUUUCAAGUUUCUGCCUAUCAGCUUUCGAUGGUAGUGUAUUGGACUACCAUGGCAGUAACGGGUAACGAAGAAUUUGGGUUCGAUUUCGGAGAGGAGCCUGAGAGAUGGCUACCACAUCCAAGGAAGGCAGCAGGCGCGUAAAUUACCAAUCCUGACAUAGGGAGGUAGUGACAAUAAAUCAAUGCGGGACUAUUUAGUUUUGCAAUUGGAUUGAGAACAAUGUACAAGAGUUAUCGAUAAACAAUUGGAGGGCAAGUCUGGUGCCAGCAGCCGCGGUA
rnacentral:rRNA from 1 species